ACAUGCAAGUCGAACGGUAACAGGAAGAAGCUUGCUUCUUUGCUGACGAGUGGCGGACGGGUGAGUAAUGUCUGGGAAACUGCCUGAUGGAGGGGGAUAACUACUGGAAACGGUAGCUAAUACCGCAUAACGUCGCAAGACCAAAGAGGGGGACCUUCGGGCCUCUUGCCAUCGGAUGUGCCCAGAUGGGAUUAGCUAGUAGGUGGGGUAACGGCUCACCUAGGCGACGAUCCCUAGCUGGUCUGAGAGGAUGACCAGCCACACUGGAACUGAGACACGGUCCAGACUCCUACGGGAGGCAGCAGUGGGGAAUAUUGCACAAUGGGCGCAAGCCUGAUGCAGCCAUGCCGCGUGUAUGAAGAAGGCCUUCGGGUUGUAAAGUACUUUCAGCGGGGAGGAAGGGAGUAAAGUUAAUACCUUUGCUCAUUGACGUUACCCGCAGAAGAAGCACCGGCUAACUCCGUGCCAGCAGCCGCGGUAAUACGGAGGGUGCAAGCGUUAAUCGGAAUUACUGGGCGUAAAGCGCACGCAGGCGGUUUGUUAAGUCAGAUGUGAAAUCCCCGGGCUCAACCUGGGAACUGCAUCUGAUACUGGCAAGCUUGAGUCUCGUAGAGGGGGGUAGAAUUCCAGGUGUAGCGGUGAAAUGCGUAGAGAUCUGGAGGAAUACCGGUGGCGAAGGCGGCCCCCUGGACGAAGACUGACGCUCAGG
rnacentral:rRNA from 1 species